rnacentral:lncRNA from 1 species
CUGAAUCCUCCGAAAGUUUUCUUUUCUUCUUCGCGAAAUUCGCGCGAAAAAUGUUGGCGAUGGACUCGCGAUCUUCUUCUCUCCAUCUUCAUCGCUCCAUUGCUCGCGUUGACCUUAUCUCCGUCGUACGAAUGAAACAAUCCCCCAGAACUCCUUCUCCGAACACGCCUCGAAUACGUAUAACUAUCUUCUGUUGAUUCCGUACCUCCGUGAUCUGUUUUAUCUUUUUUUUUGCAUCUGAAUUUUCGCGAUCCAAUAGAAUUCUGAUUCCUUAGUUUUUUUUUUUUUUUAAAGUUAUAAUUGAAUGGCUGAGAGUAGAGAGUUAGGUUUACAUAAGCCUGCUAUUAGCUUGAAAGAGCAGUUAGCGAGAACUACUCUGAGGAACUUGAGGUCGCAAGGUCACACGUACGUUCAGAUUCGCGAAGACGGGAAGCGUUUCGUCUUCUUCUGCACUCUGUGUCUCGCUCCCUGCUACAGCGACGCCGUUUUGCUCGGGCAUUUGAACGGGAGCCUUCACAGGGAGAGGUUGUCGUGUGCUAAGAUCACGCUUCUCGGUGAAAAGCCGUGGCCUUUCAAUGACGGUGUGCUUUUCUUCGAUUGUUCAAAGGGAGAAGAAGAGGAGAAGAAAGCUCAGAUCUCUGGUGGUGAAGGUGUUACUUGUCCUUUGCUGGAUUGGUGUGAUGAUGAAAGGUUUGCUAUUGUUGUGUAUGAUGAAAGCAGAGGGCAAAAUGGAGAUAUUAAUCAACCUGCUGAUGAGAUUGGUCGCUGUGGAGAUAAUCUGUUGAUCUCUGGUUUGUUGAUUAAGGAGAGAACUGUUGAUCUGGAAGCUAAGUUUAUAGGCUUUGGACGCAUAGCUGCUAGGUUGUUUGAGACGAAAGGGCGUUCGACUUGGAUAGAUAAGCUAUGGUGCGAGUGGUUAGGAGAGGAGUGUCCUUCGGAUGAGGAGAAGGCUAGUGUCCCGGAGCAUGACUUUGCUAUUGUCACGUUCUCCUAUUUCUAUAAUUUGGGUAGGCUUGGUUUUCUCGACGAGCCGAGCCGUCUUCUCACAUCUAGUCCAGCUGAAUCAGGGAAAGGGGAAGACGGUGGGAGGAAGAGGAAGAAGUCUUUUUCCGAUCCGGAAGACACUAGUGAUUCUCUGUGUAGUCAGUACGACUCUUCUGAGGAGGUCUCUUCAAGGGCUCUGAUAGGUGAUUAUGAUGAUAGUGUCGUGGACAAGAGGAUCAUCAAGAACAGAAAGGUAAGACGAGAGCUCAGGAAGCAACAGAGGAUAAAUUCCGAGAGGAUAUGCGAAGUCUGUAAGCAAAAGAUGCUUCCUGGGAAAGAUGCAGCAGCAAUACUAAACAUGAAGACAGGGAAACUUGCGUGUGGUAGUAGAAACCUCCUCGGUGCGUUCCACCUGUUUCACGUGUCUUGUGUCGUGCACUGGUUUCUUUUUUGUGAGAGUGAGAUACUUGGGAGCAAGAUGGUGUGUGGAAAAGGGAAAAAGAGAUGCGCAAAGCAGAGUGGUGCGAACAUGAAUGGGUUGGUAAGUAAUGUUAGCUGGCAAAUAUUUUCAGUGUUCUGUCCAGAAUGUCAAGGCACUGGCAUAAACAUUGAAGGAGGUGAGAUUGAGAGAGACACGUUUCCGCUUUCUCAGGUAUGUAUGUGAUUUCACUCACUCAAAGUUCUUAAACAAGUGUAAACCUAACAUACGUGUGAUUGUAUGUGAAUGUGGUAGACAUGGAGGUUCGGGGUGAAAGUGAGUGAAGGUAGAAAAGCAUGGGUGAAAAAUCCGGAAAAGUUAGAGAACUGUUCAACGGGUUUUCAUUUUCCACUGCAGGAUAAAGAAUCGGUCAAGGGUCAGGUAAUAAUAAUACUAUUAUUACACAAUAUAUCCAUUUUGGUAAUUACAUUGGUUGUAAGUGGGAAGAUUAAAAUGUGGGAAUGCAGGAGGAAAGAGUGCAGAGCAUGAAACUGGUUCGUUUCUACCGAGUGGAGUUGUAACGUAGGAAACAAGCAAGCAAAGAUACACUCGAAAUGUUAUGUGUUUUGUGUAAAUAAGGCUUUGGUCUCGCCCUUUACAGUUCUUCUCACUGUAAAUCCGCUAUUACAUUUGCAUUUGUUAUUACUUAUUACUAUGAUACUAUCUAAUUACUUCCCAUUUUAUUCUUUUCUUUUGAGUUAGGGACUUUAAUACGUACAAUAAUAUUUAAAAAAAUCUUUAAAAUUCGAAAUUCUAAAACCUGUUUUCGAGAUAGGCACGUUCAGUUAGAACUUUUGAAGCUACAAAAAUGGAUCUCGUAGAUGAGGCCAUGAGGGGGUUGUGUCAUGCGGACCCAUAUACGUCAUCUCAGACUGCACUAUGCUUUUAAAUGAAACAGCUCACUCCAGUUUUGUUUACAACAUUUUUAAUGUAUAAAGAAAGAACCGUACCAAAAACAUUAAUUUGAUAAACUUGAUAUUUCAACUUCUUCUAUCAGCACUGUCUUAUUCACCGUUAUCAAUCAAACGUAGGGUCCAAAUUUUAUUUAUAAUUUUUGGAAAGAAAAAAGUAUCACCGUCUGCGUCGCGUUAUCAUCCUUUUGGUGCACAAAUAGAUUGAGUUGAAGAUGAGCCUCCUUUUAUCCAUAUUAUUAUUAGAUCAGAAUAAACAAUAGCAAAUCGGUGCCGUUUCUUGAUUUUCACAUUAUUAUGUUCUAAUCAUACAAUCAGAAGAUUCAACGCUCUUACACACACACACACUUGUAACUUACCUCGUAAAUAUAAUAUGCAUACUCAUUCCAAUGUAUGAUGAGAGGACAUACAAUUAGAAAAGAAGUAGACACAUGACCAUGAAACAAAGCAGGAACAAAUAGAUUCUGCUUAGUGACUCAUCCGCCUGCAUUGUCCGACGCCUUAACCGGAGACUUGUGUAACGGUCUCCCCGGUACGGUGUCACGUUGCUCGAAGACUCUCCAAAUAGUCUCUGAUAUACCAUCUCGCAUACCUCACCCACCACCGGAUCAGGCAUUCUAUACAUGUACCGUUGACUCCCCCCUUCUCCUACAAGUUGACCAGCUCUUCUCAAGUCAUAAACCGGACCAGAUGGUCUGUUCGGUACAUUUGAACCAGACUGGGGGACUUUCUGUCCCCUGCCGUAGAUAGGGACAAGCGUAGCGUCGGAGACCUCGGAUUUGCAGACCGGACAUUUCGAGGAUUUCUUCUUAUCGUACUGGUCGACGCGUUGUCUUGUAUUGUUGGUGGAGUAAGUCCACUUGUAAAUGCAGGGCCAACAAAACAAGUGGCCACACAAAGUCACGACCGGAUCACGAACCUGAUCCAAACAUAUGUUGCAGUCGAAGUCUCCUCCUGAGUCACCCAAUGUUGCUAGGUCUUCUUGGUUCUCUAGCUCCAUUUUACUGAAACGUACAAGACAAACACAUUCACUUGACUAGUCCUUGUUUAUUAGAGAUUUCACCUAAAAUACGAAAUUUCGUGAGAAGAAUAAUAAAUAGUUUUUUUACAAAAAGAAGGUAAUAAUAUAUAGUAAUAAUUUGUAAUCGUAUUGUCUUACUCGUAUAAUAAAUAAUUUUUCACGUUAUAUACCAUGAUAAAACUAAAUUAUUAAAGAAACAUAGUGGUUAAUUAAACAGCGAAGUGAUAACAAGGAGAUUAUUCCUAAUCGUAUUAUCUACUAAAACUGACUUAGUAUAAUCGGAAAGAAUCAGCUGCGUGCGACCGUGCGUAGUUAUUCAAGAAACGGUGCAGAUCUAUUGAAUAGAUGCUUUUAUAUGUAAACAUACAAGCGCAAUAACAUAGAUAUAUAUAUAUAUAUAUAAAGAGUGAUGAUUCAGAGACGUACUCGUCGAAAAGAUUGUAAGUACCGAUGGAUCUCUGCUGACUUUAGAUGCUAGUAGCCUUUGGAAACCUCAGACUCAGAGAGUUAUGGCUGAAGAACAAAGGGAGGAGAAUUAUUUGGAAUUAGAGAAAGCGGAAUGGGUAAGAACAAUAAUAAUAAAUCGAAGGUGGCGCAGAAGAAGGCACGAGAGCUUAUAUUAUAUUAUACACACACGCACACGUAAGUAUUAUUUAUUACUCCCUCUGUUCCCAAAAGUAAGAUGUUUUAGAUUUUUUACUUGUUCUACAAAGAUAAAUUUUCUAUAUGUUUAAGGUACUUUUUUAUAUUUUUAAAAAACAUUAAAUAAAAAUAUUUGAAUUGAUUAAAUUUCAUUGGUGAAAAGUUAUUGGAAAGUGUAUAAUAAAGUAAAAAAAUUAAAUUAUAAAUAUUUAUUGAAUUUUUAAUAAGCGUGAACACUUUAGAAAAUCUUAUUACGAGGAACAGAGGUUCGAGGAACAGAAGUAGUAGUUUAUAAAGGUGUAAAAACUAAAUCAGCAGAAAUUAUUUUAAAGAAGAAACGUCUACCUAAUUGAAAAUAAGUAGAUAAAGUAACGAAAUGGCAUUCUUUUUUUUUUCUUUGUUUCUUGAAUAUUUGCAUAUUUUUUGAAAAGGUCAGCAACAUAAAGAAGGCAAUACUAUAAAAAUGUUUAAUCACAACUACAGAACAAAAAAUAUUCAGCUGACAGAACAAUUUUGAAAAAUAACUUAAAAAAUAUUACAAACUCCCAAAUUGUCCCAUAACUUUAUUGGUUUAUCUUUUUACAAAAAAAAAAAAAAACUUUAUCGGUUUAUCCCUAUUUCUUUUUCGUAGGAUAAGAAUUUGACCGGCCGCCACUUCGCCAAAUACAAAACCCACGCCGACAUUAUCAAAACCCAACAGCCCAAAUAAAACGGACAAAAAAGCAGAGAGAAAAUGGGCCAGGCCCAACCUUCUAAAGACGCUCUUUACCGCCACAAACGUCGAACCCUUCGACACCCUUCAAUGUGCAGGUUGAAUAUGAGCGAUAAUAAAAGUUAGGUAUCAAAUGUCGAAGAUAUAGAGAGUUUUUUUUUUUUCCUGAUAAAGCAGUUUAUAAAAAAGAUAUAGAAAGUUAAGCAGUCAAAUUAGAUAGUUUCUCAUUUAUUUUUUAAUUAAGUGUUGAAGUUUAUCUACUAUCCCGCGACUCAUCGGGAUCGGAGAAUCUCUUAUUGAAAAAAUUCGAAUCUCCACAACUAUUUAUAAAACUCAAGAGCACAUCUUAACCGUUCAUCACUCAACCAUCAAAAUCCAACGGUUAAAUAGUUUUCUCUUCAACGACUAGAGGACAAAGAAGCUUUCCUUCGAUUUCGGUUAACUCCUUCUUCUUCUUCAACCAUCGCUCCUGAAUCACUCUCUCUCGUCGUUUCUUCUCAAAUUCUCCGUCAAUUCUGAAUCCUCCGAAAGUUUUCUUUUCUUCUUCGCGAAAUUCGCGCGAAAAAUGUUGGCGAUGGACUCGCGAUCUUCUUCUCUCCAUCUUCAUCGCUCCAUUGCUCGCGUUGACCUUAUCUCCGUCGUACGAAUGAAACAAUCCCCCAGAACUCCUUCUCCGAACACGCCUCGAAUACGUAUAACUAUCUUCUGUUGAUUCCGUACCUCCGUGAUCUGUUUUAUCUUUUUUUUUGCAUCUGAAUUUUCGCGAUCCAAUAGAAUUCUGAUUCCUUAGUUUUUUUUUUUUUUUAAAGUUAUAAUUGAAUGGCUGAGAGUAGAGAGUUAGGUUUACAUAAGCCUGCUAUUAGCUUGAAAGAGCAGUUAGCGAGAACUACUCUGAGGAACUUGAGGUCGCAAGGUCACACGUACGUUCAGAUUCGCGAAGACGGGAAGCGUUUCGUCUUCUUCUGCACUCUGUGUCUCGCUCCCUGCUACAGCGAC